UAGCUAAUUAUCCUCUUAAUGGUAUUUACAUUGUGCGUAGAAAAUUAUAAUUGUUUGGAAGUUGGUUUCUGACUAGUAUCUAUUUAUGAUUAAAAGCCUUUUGUUCUUAGAGAAGAGAAUGUAUAUUUAGCACAUGUUCAUACGUAUGCUCAUGUAAUUCUGCUCUCUCUUUUCAAACUCUCUCUCUUUGUUUUUAAGAGAGUUUUUCUCUGUUUUUUUGCUUUUCUUCAUGAGGCGAAGGGCCUCGAUUCGUGCCGGUUCGCGGCUACUCAUGUCACGACCUGCAGGGGUGGCUCCCUCCACCUCACCCAGAAGUGGGUUUCUUCCUCCCUACCCUUCCAGAUGGAGGAUCCUUGACGGUGCUGUUCCCAAUUUGUUCUUCCACUAUUAGGAAACGAUGGAGAUCCAUACUUUUCGAUCUCGCAGUCGACGCUUUUGUCUUGAAUUCUCCUUCCUUGGCUCUAGGGGUAGUCGGUAGACUCGAUCAUAGAAAUCUCUCUUCUCUUUUUCUUGCAUUCGUCAUUUAUCUCUCAACCUUGCUGGGAUUACAUACAUUUUCUUUACUUGGUGCUGCCCUUUGUAUCUGUUUCUUUGGUCGCUAGAGGUCGACAAGGGUCCCUUCCUCGCUCUUCAAUUCGUGUUUUAAGGCUUUCAUACAUUUCCUUUACUUGGUGCUGCCCUUUGUAUCUAUUGCUUUGGUUGCUAGAGGUCGACAAGGGUCCCUUCCUCGCUCUUCAAUUCGCGUUUUAAGGCUUUCAAAGGCUACUGUUUGGAAAGAAAUCCUUUUCUUCUUGUCGACGAUGGUGAUGGAGUUUCUUGACAAAAGUCGGAGGCUCCGUUGUUUGUUGCAACCAGGUCGAGGUAUGGAUCAAGUGGAUUUUUGAUUCUUUAGGUUUGUGUUUGGACGGUAUAUUUUAAUCUUUUGGGCCCUAUGAUUCUUUGUUGUUAUUGAGGCCUUGGACCUUUAAAUGUAAUCUUGAGCCUUGGACUUCUCCUCAAUGAACUUCAUAUCUUAGGAUAAAAAAUGCUCAUGUAAUUUAACCAAGUGCCA